GAUGAACGCUGGCGGCGUGCCUAAUACAUGCAAGUCGAGCGAACAGACGAGGAGCUUGCUCCUCUGACGUUAGCGGCGGACGGGUGAGUAACACGUGGAUAACCUACCUAUAAGACUGGGAUAACUUCGGGAAACCGGAGCUAAUACCGGAUAACAUGUUGAACCGCAUGGUUCAACAGUGAAAGACGGUCUUGCUGUCACUUAUAGAUGGCUCCGCGCCGCAUUAGCUAGUUGGUAAGGUAACGGCUUACCAAGGCAACGAUGCGUAGCCGACCUGAGAGGGUGAUCGGCCACACUGGAACUGAGACACGGUCCAGACUCCUACGGGAGGCAGCAGUAGGGAAUCUUCCGCAAUGGGCGAAAGCCUGACGGAGCAACGCCGCGUGAGUGAAGAAGGUCUUCGGAUCGUAAAACUCUGUUAUUAGGGAAGAACAAAUGUGUAAGUAACUAUGCACGUCUUGACGGUACCUAAUCAGAAAGCCACGGCUAACUACGUG
rnacentral:rRNA from 1 species